AUGUUACUACUCAAGUCCGGGCAUUUGUCACUGCAAUUUUGGGUGGAUGUAUACACAUGUAUCGAGCAAAAUAGACUAAACUGGAUCCGACACAAUCAAGGAAAGCUACGAACUGAACUUUACAGUGGAUUGCAGGAUGCGAUUGAGCGAGGGGACACAAGAACAGAGCAAGUUGGAAAGAGGAUAAUUGUGCCUUCAUCUUUUACAGGUGGUAGAAGAAACAAGGCACAAUAUUUGCAAGAUGCCUUUGCAAUAUGCCGUUGGGCUGGAUACCCAGACCUAUUUAUAACAUUCACAUGCAAUGCAAAGUGGCCUGAGAUCCAAUACAUGCUAGAUGAAGCGGGAGGUGGCCAAAAGCCAGCCGAUCGGCCAGACAUUGUGGACAGAGUAUUUAUGAUCAAACUAAAGGAGCUAAUGAGAGACAUAAAAGAAAAGAAAUACUUUGGAGAAAUAGUUGCAAGUAAGUCCCAUUGA
rnacentral:rRNA from 1 species